UACGAAGGGGGCUAGCGUUGCUCGGAAUUACUGGGCGUAAAGGGCGCGUAGGCGGAUAUUUAAGUUAGAGGUGAAAGCCCAGGGCUCAACCCUGGAAUAGCCUUUAAUACUGGAUAUCUUGAGUUCGGGAGAGGUGAGUGGAACUCCGAGUGUAGAGGUGAAAUUCGUAGAUAUUGGGAAGAACACCGGUGGCGAAGGCGGCAACCUGGUCCUUGACUGACGCUGAGGCGCGAAAGCGUGGGGAGCAAACAGG
rnacentral:rRNA from 1 species